UGGAGAUUCCUUUUGGGUCUGAAAGAAAGUUCCAGACAAUUUCCUUUGCCCUUCCCCGUUUUUUUUUCCUCUCUCGUAUUUGGUUCAAUGCCGUAAUAAAAACUACGCGUGAAAACCAAAUCAGGGUUGUAAGUAGGCUGGCGAUCCAAAUCAUCUAGAAAUCGCCGAGUUUAAUUCAUUUUAAUUUCGUUUUCAAGUCCAUGGCUACCGAUUUUCUUUCUUUUUUAAUUUGCAGAUAAUAUAAGUUUUCUUUUUCUUUCUAAAUUCACUUAUUUUUUUAGAUAUUGUUGACGUUGAAGCUUAUCAAGAACAUCACCAUGCAUACUCAUCUCAAUUGUUAUUUUAUGAAAAAGGUCAUUCUGUUUAUCCAAUAAAUUAAUUACCUGUUGUUUUCUUUAUA